GACGAACGCUGGCGGCGUGCCUAAUACAUGCAAGUCGAACGCAGUGGGGACGGGUGAGUAACACGUGGGUAACCUCCAAUCAGAGGGGAUAACACUUGGCAACAGGUGCUAAACCGAUACUGAUGGAUGGACCCGCGGUGAAGUAGCUAGCUGGUGAGGUAACGGCUCACCAAGGACACGAUGCCUAGCCGACCUGAGAGGGUGAUCGGCCACACUGGGACUGAGACACGGUCCAGAGUCCUACGGGAGGCAGCAGUAGGGAAUCGUCGGCAAUGGACGAAAGUCUGACCGAGCAACGCCGCGUGAGUGAAGAAGGUUUUGGGAUCGUAAAGCUCUGUUGUGAUGGAAGCGUUAUCUAACCAGAAAGCCACGGCUAACUACGUGCCAGCAGCCGCGGUAAUAC
rnacentral:rRNA from 1 species